rnacentral:lncRNA from 1 species
UCUUUUUGUAAUUAUCACUUGUUUCUUCCUUUUUUUUUCUUUCUAAAAAGAUUCACCAAAUCCACCAUCUCAAUGACUCAAAUCUAAAAUCAGAUUUGAGAUGUAACCAAGAUUGAAAAUAAAUCAAACAAUAUAUUUGAAGAGAUCUAAUAAGAAACACUAAAAAUGAGAUUGGGAAGAUGAAGAUGAUGAUUAGAGAGUUGUGUUAGUGUUAUUGAGAAGAGGUUUAUGUAUUCUUCUUCUUCUUCUAUUCCCUGAUGUGGUUAUUGGUCUAUUUCUUCCCUUUUCUUCUAUUUUAAUAUGGAAUUCGAUCCCAAUCCAACAUUAUGGAGAAUUAGGUUUCAAGCAUGAACAAGGAGAAUUGGCAAGUUUUGAGGAAAAUGAAGAGCAUAGAUUUUGAGAAUUUUGAUUUCGAUUUUGGUUAAUGGUAUGAGAAAAAUCGAUUUACUGGUUUAUAUAUUUUGAUUUCUUAGCAAUAGAUAUCGAGAAUAUUGAUUUAUAGAUCUGGGAAAAUAUAUACAGAUUUUAGUUAAAGGUUUUAGUUGAAUAUUUUAUGGGUUUCAUAUAUGCAAUAUCUGCAUUUGUUUAGUUAUUUAUUUCAUUGAAUGCAUUUUAAUGUUUCUAGUUUUUAAUAUUAUUAUAGUUUUAAAAAAAAGUUAUUAUAAACAAAUUACAUUAAUAUCAUUAUUAU